rnacentral:tRNA from 3 species
AGGGCUAUAGCUCAGUUCGGUAGAGCAACUCGUUUACACGUGCGCCAAUGACCGAGAAGGUCUACGGUUCGAAUCCGUAUAGCCCUA